AAGCAUAUCAAUAAGCGGAGGAAAAGAAACCAACAGGGAUUGCCUUAGUAGCGGCGAGUGAAGCGGCAAAAGCUCAAAUUUGAAAUCUGGCGCCUUCGGUGUCCGAGUUGUAAUUUGAAGAUUGUAACCUUGGGGUUGGCUCUUGUCUAUGUUUCUUGGAACAGGACGUCACAGAGGGUGAGAAUCCCGUGCGAUGAGAUGCCCAAUUCUAUGUAAGGUGCUUUCGAAGAGUCGAGUUGUUUGGGAAUGCAGCUCUAAGUGGGUGGUAAAUUCCAUCUAAAGCUAAAUAUUGGCGAGAGACCGAUAGCGAACAAGUACAGUGAUGGAAAGAUGAAAAGAACUUUGAAAAGAGAGUGAAAAAGUACGUGAAAUUGUUGAAAGGGAAGGGUUUGAGAUCAGACUCGAUAUUUUGUGAGCCUUGCCUUCGUGGCGGGGUGACCCGCAGCUUAUCGGGCCAGCAUCGGUUUGGGCGGUAGGAUAAUGGCGUAGGAAUGUGACUUUACUUCGGUGAAGUGUUAUAGCCUGCGUUGAUGCUGCCUGCCUAGACCGAGGACUGCGAUUUUAUCAAGGAUGCUGGCAUAAUGAUCCCAAACCGCCCG
rnacentral:rRNA from 1 species